rnacentral:sRNA from 1 species
UUUUAGCCCCGAUAGAAGUGAAAAUCCUUUUGUGGCGGGGUUCGCCACAAAAGAUUGGAACGGAUAGCGGGAUUAGCU